rnacentral:lncRNA from 1 species
GAACCAACCGAGAAGAAAUCGGGAACCUGUCGGAAUUUUCGGAAGUUCGCCGAAGAGAUCGUCGAAGGUUCACGGAGAUCACCGAGAAGGCUCGGCUACUCAUUAAAGUCAUCACAAGUUCGGGAGCUUGCUAGAAGCCCGUCGGCAGAAAGUUCGUCGGAAAGCUCGCCAGAACAAGACUCGACGUUCGCGGUUGAAAAUUUGCUUAGGAUGUGUUUUGGUUAUGUAGUCCACUUGUAAUUAGGAUUAGGAUUAAGAGAUAAUCCUAUAUCCUGGUUAGGGGCCAACUGGGUCCAAAGUCAGAGUUGGUUUAGGCUAAAAAUUAAGCUAAACCAGCGAACUAGAGAGCCAAGAUUGAAGCCCAACUAGUGGCUGAAAAUACUGUAGUCGGGCUGAAAACACUGUAGGCGGUGGCACCGCCUAGCUGGGCGGUGACACCUCCUUGGCUGGGCGGUUGCACCGUCCAGCACCCGAGCGCUGGGCGGUGGCACCUCCUUGGCUGGGCGGUUGCACCGUCCAGCACCCGAGCGCUGGGCGGUGGCACCGCCUGGUUGGGCGGUGGCACCUCCAGCACCGGGAACCCUAAGAGAAUUCAAAUUUUGAAGCCCAAAAUUUGAAUCCUCUUGAGGCCUAUAAAUACCCCUCAAAUCUCAACUGAGGUUCCAACUUUUGAGAAGC